rnacentral:ncRNA from 1 species
CACCCCUCUCCUUCACCUUGGAUCGUCGGGCACGUACCUGCCCGUGAAAGGAACCCCAC